GCUUCCCGAUAAGGGAGCAGGCCAGUAAAAAGCAUUACCCCGUGGUGGGGUUCCCGAGCGGCCAAAGGGAGCAGACUCUAAAUCUGCCGUCAUCGACUUCGAAGGUUCGAAUCCUUCCCCCACCACCAUCA
rnacentral:tRNA from 1 species